CCCUUUCCCCUCCGGCCUCUGCCGGUGCUGCUGCGCCCUGCGGAGCUCCGAACACGUGCGCGGAGUCCCAUAGAGCCUGACUCCGAGAGCCUCGAUCUCCCAGGGCCAGAGGCAGGGACUUUGGAAGGUUUGUGAGGAACAAAUGUCCGGUGGAACUGAGUCAGCCCCUUUAACCCGAGCCUUGAAAGGGGCAGGCUAUUUUUAGAUCUGUUUUUAGACCCAGCGAACAAUGAACCCUCUCUACUCAUUUUCCUGUUCCUCUAAAUUAUUUGGAGGAAGUCAGGAGUGAAAUUUGGGGAUGGCUGGAAAAAGAGAGGCUGGCUGUGGCAGAUGCAACUGCAGGAUGACUUGAAAGUAGGGCAUCCUUCACCCAUCUGAAGGGAGGAAAUAGUGGCAGGUGACAGUCUGCAUGUGCAGUUUUCAGAUGCCUUCACCUGAAUGACAUCUACCUCCAUCAGGACCCCAGAUGUCUGACAGCCCUGUGUGACACCAAGAUAAGUAACAAUCUGGCUGCUGACUACCCUAUUGGACAACUCCAAUAUUAGAGAACAUUUCCACCAAUUCAGAAAGUUUAUUAUGCACUGCUGUUCUAGAGCAGGGAUCAGCAAACUUGCUGUAAAGAGCCAGGAUCCCGUUGAAGAUACCACAUUACACUUAGGCUCCUGUUGGCCAUGACAGCUUCUUAGACUUGUUUUUAAUGACCUUGACAGUUUUGUUUUUUUGUUUGUUUGUUUUUGAGACGGAGUCUCUGUCAUCCAGGCUGGAGUGCAAUGUAAUGGCUCAAUCUCAGCUCACUGCAACCUCUGCCUCCCGGGUUCAAGUGAUUCUCCUGCCUCAGCCUCCCCAGUAGCUGGGAUUACAGGCAUGAGCCACCGUGCCCGGCUGCCUCCUAAAUUCUCAAAACAUUCCAUUUUUAUUCUGUGGUCUUACUUUAUUCUGUCAUGUAGAGAAUAGUGGUUGAGCCUGUUGUCUUUUGAGAGUGGAUGCUGUAGUCCUUACAUGGCUGACUUUCAGCCCGUAAGCUUAUAGUAGAGGAUGGGGAUUUUGUUAUCAGCUGCUAAAAGGGAGAAGCCAAGCCCAGAACUAAGGGUUCUGAUGAGUUGAAGGAGAGGGAAGAUGCCCCUCAAGGCAAAGAGCCUCUGAGUUAGAAUCUGUGCUUCACCAGAGUGACAAUGGUAGAACUUCUCCUUCUCAGUAUUAAUUCUCCUGGAGAGAACUCUAGGGUUGUCUAAACCUGUUCAACUAGGCUGACUACCCCAGCAAGUGAUGGGUUGGACAUAAGGCAAAGAACAGGAGGGGUGAAAGGGGGCAGAACAGACAAGUUCUGUCCCAGCCUCUGCUACCUCUAACCCCAUGGCAUUCUAUCCUUUUCUACACUGGGCUUCCAUUUCUUACCCCAACAAUGAUCUGUUCUUCCAGGUGCCGUCAUUUAAUUUCCCAGACACUUGACCUCCUUCUGAUUUGUGUACUCCCUCCAAGGCUGAGUUGCAGUGAGUGACAAUAAUCUGUGCUAAUUACUUAUCUUGCCAGAAGACUCAAAGGGUUUAUGGCUUUUACUAACUGAACUCUAUGCUAGAUGUUAGGGAUAAAUGGUUAACAGGACACAGUUCUUGCUUAUCUUGCUAUGGUCUGUCAAGCCUUAUACAAUCUAGCCUUAUCUCUCUCACCGUCUUAUCUUUAUCACCCGUAGAUUCCCUUGUUGGCCACUGGUUUCUUUCAGUCCUUAAUUAGCCUUUUGUCACUACCUGUCUACACAUGCUGUUUUUCCCUUCUCAUUCCAUCUUGACAUUGUCUAUUUUGAGAUCUCAGCUCAGUUGCAGAGAAGCUGCCUUCCCCAUCUGGCAACCCAUUAUAUGUGUCAUAGUACCAUGUUGUACCAUAGAGCUAGACACAGGUGCCAUGUUGUGUCUUGAAAUGUAUUCACCAGCUUCCAAAGGUUUACCUCAAUCCCCUUUACUCAAGAAGCCUCAGUUCUACUGACAGUUGGUAAUAAUAACCUCUCUGUCAUAAUGUACCCAAAAUAGAGUAAGAAUAUCAUGCUUUUCAGUAAUACUCCAGUGAAUGAGGCUAAGAGUACCAUUUUUGUUCUUAUAAAAGAAUUUUUUUGGACAUGAAUACAAAGAUGUCAGGUUACCAAAUCAUUUGCUAGUAGAUCCUAACAAUAUCACCUAUAGGAAACUGAACGUAGCCUUUAAACAUUAAGUGAUGAUAAUGGAUUUGGCCGGGCGCGGUUGCCUAUAAUCCCAACACUGAGAGGCUGAGGUGGGUGGAUCACUUGAGGCCAGGACAGGACCAGCAUGGCCAACAUGGUGAAACCCCGUCUCUACAAAAGAAAAAAAUACAAAAAUUAGCUGGGUGUUGUGGUGUAUGCCUGUAAUCCCAACUAUUUGGGUGGCUGAGGCACGAGAAUCGCUUGAACUUGGAAGGCAGAGGUUGCAGUGAGCUGAGAUCGUGCCACUGCACUCCAGCCUGGGUGACAGACUGAGACAGUCUCAAAAAAAAAAAAAGAAAAUAAUGGAUUUGCAGAGACUUGCUAUUUAGAUUUCAGACAUCUGUUAACUAAAACACAUGUGUAGGCUUUUGUUACUUAUUUCAGUAAUCUGUAAAUAUCUUUAUAUUUGAGAAAAUUUGUGAGACAUCUUUGUGUAAAUUAUAACUUGAAGAACCUCUCUUACAAGCAGGCAUAUUGGUAAGUAGCUGCGAGGAUAUAACUUAUAACCAGAUUGAAGUGUAUAAUUAUAAUAUGUUAUUAUUCUGGGGUUCUAUAAAAAAUAAAAUCUUUGAAUCUA
rnacentral:lncRNA from 1 species